GCCACUGCUAUUGGGGUUCGGCUAAGCCAUGCGAGUGGAGGGCGUCCCGCAAGGGAUGGCCCCGCAGACGGCUCAGUAACACGUCGUCAACCCACCUUAGGGUGGGGGACAACCUCGGGAAACUGAGGAUAAUCCCCCAUAGGCGGGGGAGGCUGGAAUGCGCCCCCGCUGAAAGCUCAGGCGCCCUGGACGGGACGGCGGCCUAUCAGGUAGUUGGUGGUGUGAC
rnacentral:rRNA from 1 species